UUGUUUCUAUAGUCAAUUAUAAGAAAAGUUUCUCUGAAUGUGUAGAGCACUGGAAACCAUGAGGAGGUGGCACAGCAUUCUCCCCUGGGCAUCAGGCUGGCUGCUGGUGGUGCUUUCUACAACUGCCAUUUGCCAUUUUCUUCCUUCAGGAGAGUGAGAGAGGGCACAGUCUGGGUGGU
ensembl:snoRNA U3 Small nucleolar RNA U3